rnacentral:misc_RNA from 1 species
UCCCAGUUUAUCUGGGCAGUCUAGCUUGAGAGCCUCAUUUUUAUUUGAGGCAACAAGCUAUGGGGGUUGCGCUCGUUGCGGGACUUAACCCAACAUCUCACGACACGAGCUGACGACAGCCAUGCAGCACCUGUGCUAAGCGCGUAUUGCUACGCUAUAUAGCUUUCGCUAUAGACACAAAGCAAGUCGAGCCCAGGUAAGGUUCUUCGCGUUGCAUCGAAUUAAGCCACAUACUCCACCGCUUGUGCGGGUCCCCGUCAAUUUCUUUGAGUCUUAAUCUUGCGACCGUACUUCCCAGGCGGCGUGUUUAACGCGUUUGCUACGGCACCGGGGGGGUCAACUCCACCGAUACCAAACACGCACCGUUUACAGCUAGGACUA